AUACUUACCUGGCAGGGGAGAUACCAUGAUCAUGAAGGUGGUUCACCCAGGGCGAGGCUCAGCCAUUGCACUCCGGCUGUGCUGACCCGUGCGAAUUCCCCAAAUGUGGGAAUCUCGACUGCAUAAUUUGUAGUGGGGGACUGCGUUCGCGCUCUCCCCUG
rnacentral:snRNA from 1 species